AUUGAACGCUGGCGGCAGGCCUAACACAUGCAAGUCGAGCGACCGGCGGACGGGUGAGUAAUGUAAGGGGAUCUGCCCGAUAGAGGGGACUAACUACUGGAAACGGUAGCUACUAACGCAUACUAUCGGAUGAACCCAUUUGGGACUAGCUAGUUGGUGGGGUAAUGACCAACCAAGGCGACGAUCCCUAGUUGGUCUGAGAGGAUGAUCAGCAACACUGGAACUGAGACACGGUCCAGACUCCUACGGGAGGCAGCAGUGGGGAAUAUUGGACAAUGGGCGAAAGCCUGAUGCAGCCAUGCCGCGUGUAUGAAGAAGGCCUUAGGGUUGUAAAGUACUUUCAGUCGGGAGGCGUUACCAACAGAAGAAGCACCGGCUAACUCCGUGCCAGCAGCCGCGGUAAUAC
rnacentral:rRNA from 1 species